rnacentral:lncRNA from 1 species
UUUUUUUUUUUUAACUUUAUGGUUUCCACAGAAAACUAGACAAAGGAAUUUAAAAUUGUUUUAAUCACUUCAAAAAAUGGCACUUAGGUUAGGAAAAAGCUGCUCUGCAGGAUGUUACACAAAUCAGUAAAAUAGUGUUUCAUACUUGUUAUUUAUAGUUGUACAUUAAUGACAUAGCUUACAGGAAAAGACUUGUGCUCAAUCUCUAAUGGCCCUGGUUUAUUCCUGUGUUAGCUGUGCGUUGAGAAAUAAGAUGCUGCUUGACACUGGGAUGUAGUAAGUACACUUAUCUGAUAUCUGAUGAACAAGUGGCCCACUUGGGAGCUUGUCAGACUCCCCAGCUUCAGCAUGAUUGAAGUUUUCAGUGCUACACUUUGCCCUCAUUGCCAGGUAUACAAAGUUUGUAUAGGCCUACAGUAAUUUAUCAGCUAAUGUAUUGUCAAUUGCAAUUACACUUCAGUCCUUGUUUUAAUCUCAGAUUAGUUUAUUAGAAAAGUUUGGAAAAUGCUGUAGUUGUUGAUCAUAAUUCCUUUGCUAAGUGAGCUUUUUUCCCACAAAAUUGUAAAAGUUGUAAAAGUGUGUAAUGCUGUUCAAGAGUUCCACAAGCAAAGAUGCAGCAGAUGUAGGAGGUGCCAGUACUUGUUGGUGAUAAGCCUAACAGCUGAUGGUUAUUCCUAUUAGUAAAUAGAGUGGUACAGCAGUAAUGAAUGAGUAGAACAGCAGCUGGCACUGAAGCCUUGUCCUCAACACUGUGUUUGGGACAGAGUGUUAACUUCAGCAUUGCUCAAGAGUGAUUGUAUGGCCUGAGUGACACUUAAACAGCAUUUGGUGCACUCUUGCAGCACAUUUUUGAGUUUAAUUUCAUCCAGAAAUAAUCCAGUUUGUACACUCCAAGAUCACACUGUGAUAGGAGCCAAAGCACAGUUAAGAAAUUAAUUUUUAAAACAUCCUCCUGUUUCAGGCCACUAAUGUAGACAUACCCUGUAGGGCUCCAGAUCUGGUCCAGGUGAUGGUUCAUUUCCUGAUAUUUCAGUAAACUGUUGAUAAGAACUUCCAAUUUUGUUCUAUUACUUUUUUAUCUAUCUUCUUGGUUUAUUUUGAAGUGAAAAAAAACUGAAAGUUUUUAUAUAUCAUGAGGACUUCUCCAUACAAAAUCUACAGCCAUGUUUGCUUAGGGCUACAUGGUGUGACAUGGUGCUCUGGGUUAACUCUAUCUGAUAACCUUCUUAUUUUGAUAUUCCCAUGCAAGUUUGUCAAUUUACUUUCUAACCUGUAAAGAGCACCAGGUUUACAGACUGUUACUGCCAAUCUGAGGAAUGGCUGAGGGAACUGGGGUUGUUUUGCCUGGGGAAAAGGAGACUCAGAGGCGACUUUAUCACUCUCUACAACUCUCUGAAAGGUGGUUGUAGUCAGAUGGGGUUGGUCUCUUUCACCAGGCAGCAGCUGACAGAACAAGAGGUCACAGUCUCAAGCUUCAUCAAGGGAAAUAUAGGUUUGAUAUUAGGGAAAAAGUUUUUCACAGAAAGGGUGAAAAAUACUGGAAUGGUCUGCCCGGGGAGGUGGUGGAUGUGUUUAAAAAAAAGACUGGAUGUGGCACUCAGUGCUGUGGUUUAGUUGAGGUGUCAGGGAACAGGUUGGACUCAAAGAUCUUGAAGGUCUCUUCCAACAUUGUGAUUCUGUGAUCUUCUAUAUUCUGGGCAAACUAGGGAUGAAAUCAGCUCAAAUCUAAGCCUUUUACAGAGUAUCUUUUUUUACUGAGCAACCUUGAGUCCUGGUAAGCACUCUAGCAGUAAUUAUUUAGGGUAUUAGCUGACUUCAGUAAUGCUUUUACAACACGUAAGAGCUCUUCAGUUCUGUUACCAGCUUUCAAGACAAUAGUAAACAAGUAAAAUGUACAGAUGUUUGUUGCUGUUUCUCCUAUGUCUCUCAGUGUUGCCAGCCCAAUAAUUCCUGGCUAAAUAUUAGUUAGCGCAUAAUAGACUCAGGAUUUGUUUCACUCUUACCUGUCACAAAUCGCUUAGGUGUUAGAUAGGCAGUUUUGAUGUGUUCUCCAAGGACUAGGGGUUUUCUUCAGCUCUUGCUCUGGUAAGACCUAUUUAUAUACAAAUCAGCCUAAGCAUCAUUCUGAGAGCCAUGUAAAUUAUGCUUGGUAGAGGUAAGGGUUGUGGUCCUAUACAACCAUUUCUGGUUUAAAACACUCUGCCAAUGGAGCAGCAACAAGUUCAUUUCCAUUGAAAACACUGGGAUAAUUCUCACUGAUUUACUAUCAAGUAUAGGUAUUUGCUUUAGUACAAGUUAUGGUUUCUGAUGACUGUGUGGGAUGUUUACUUGUGCUUGCAUUGUGCUUGCUGAUGCUUUGAUAGAUUGCAGUUACUCCCAGUGGAACUGUACUAUUUGUUUAAGCACAUUCAAAUGUGCAAAAGAAACAUCAGCUAUUUACAGCUAAUACUUGUUCAAGUACACAUACUGGAAAAAAGUAUUGAUACUUUUUCAAGCUUUUAUAGCUGAUACUUUUUCAAUUCUCCUGCGUGCUUCUUGUGGUACCACUUCUCACCUGACUAUAGCAACACAAACCAAAAAAAAAAAA